UCUAUUUCUUUGUUUUCAGGCAUUACUUUCGCUGGUCGAGGUGGAUACUUGUCUGCUGGAUAAUUGCGUUGUUUAGUGUUCGUUUGGUACAUAUUCCUUGAAAGGAACUGGGAGAGGAAGUCCUCCAGGCUAUUAAUAUCUCGCACCUGGCUCUGGAAGAACAUCAGCGGCUCGCCGAGUAAUAAACUGGACAAUUGGAAACGCCACAUUAACCAAGAUGUGGGUGUCAGUUCCUGAACGGUUGAUGACUGCGGAUGAUGGCUGGCUAACCACAUUGGUCGGCGACUGGUUCAUGGUGACGAUAUUAUGGAAUACUUCGAAUAAAUUGCCUAAAGAAUAAAGUGUACUACCAAAUUACCGGAAUAUUAAAAUGGACUUACUGAUAGUGCCUAUUUUGGAUGAAAUUGUGUGGUGUUAAAAGUUUCAAGUGUCAUGUACAUGUAUUAUGCAAAGACCUUCUUAGUGAUACAGGUAUGAAUACCAACAUGGAGAAAUUAUAUUAAUAUAGCUCUUAAAAUU